UAGGGAAUCUUCGGCAAUGGACGAAAGUCUGACCGAGCAACGCCGCGUGAGUGAAGAAGGUUUUCGGAUCGUAAAACUCUGUUGUUAUAGAAGAACAAGGACGUUAGUAACUGAACGUCCCCUGACGGUAUCUAACCAGAAAGCCACGGCUAACUACGUGCCAGCAGCCGCGGUAAUACGUAGGUGGCAAGCGUUGUCCGGAUUUAUUGGGCGUAAAGCGAGCGCAGGCGGUUUCUUAAGUCUGAUGUGAAAGCCCCCGGCUCAACCGGGGAGGGUCAUUGGAAACUGGGAGACUUGAGUGCAGAAGAGGAGAGUGGAAUUCCAUGUGUAGCGGUGAAAUGCGUAGAUAUAUGGAGGAACACCAGUGGCGAAGGCGGCUCUCUGGUCUGUAACUGACGCUGAGGCUCGAAAGCGUGGGGAGCAAACAGG
rnacentral:rRNA from 1 species